GGGAUAUAGCUAAGCUGGUAUAGCGCGGCGUUCGCAAUGCUGAGGCCAGGGGUUCGAGUCCCCUUAUCUCC
rnacentral:tRNA from 1 species